rnacentral:tRNA from 1 species
GGGGCCGUAGCUCAGUUGGGAGAGCGCUACAAUGGCAUUGAAGAGGUCAGGGGUUCGAUUCCCCUCGGCUCCACCA